rnacentral:lncRNA from 1 species
CUCCCAGGCGCGACUGCAGCUGUAGGCUGCUCUGUGGUCUGGGGGGCUGUAUCUUCAGCAGCGCGGACAGGCUCGCACGUCCCCUGGCUGGCAGCCUGGCCGGGGUCGACAUCCGACGCCGCACUACAGGAACAAAAGUGUAAUUUCAAAAAAAAAAAACAAAGAGGAGUCCAAAAUACGUAAGUCGAACACUUACAGGUCUGAUCGGCGGUGGGUCGCGGUGAACCUCCUCCUCGCCCGGCC